CUACUAGUAUCCAUGGGGGUCCAUAGGGGUCCCGCUACCCGUUAACCUUUAACAUUCAUAAUCAGUUUCCAGGGCCGUCCCCAUACCCCGUCCGGUAUGGGCGCCAAAACCAUAAACCUCAAUACCCCGUCCGGUAUGAGGGUGAAACGGGCCGUCCCCAUACCUCGUCCGGUAUGGGCGCCAAAACCAUAAACCUCAAUACCCCGUCCGGU
rnacentral:lncRNA from 1 species